rnacentral:rRNA from 1 species
ACGAACGUUAGCGGCGCGCCUAACACAUGCAAGUCGCACGAGAAAGGGCUUCGGCCCCGGUACAGUGGCGCACGGUGAGUAACACGUAGGCAACCUACCCCCGAGUGGUGGAUAACCCUCGAAAGGAGGGCUAAUACAGCAUAAGACCAAGCUCCUUCGGGAGCUGUGGCCAAAGCGGGCCUCUUCAUGAAAGCUCGCGCUUGGGGAUGGGCCUGCGGCCCAUCAGCUAGUUGGUGAGGUAACGGCUCACCAAGGCAGAGACGGGUAGCUUGUCUGAGAGGAUGAACAGCCACACUGGAACUGAGACACGGUCCAGACUCCUACGGGAGGCAGCAGUGGGGAAUCUUGCGCAAUGGGCGAAAGCCUGACGCAGCGACGCCGCGUGAGUGAUGAAGGCCUUCGGGUUGUAAAGCUCUGUGGGAAGGGAAGAAUAAGUGCGGGCUAAUAUCCUGCAUGAUGACGGUACCUUCUUAGCAAGCACCGGCUAACUCUGUGCCAGCAGCCGCGGUAAGACAGAGGGUGCAAACGUUGUUCGGAAUUACUGGGCGUAAAGCGCGUGUAGGCGGCUGCGCAAGUCGGAUGUGAAAUCCCAUGGCUCAACCAUGGAAGCGCACCCGAAACUGCGUAGCUAGAGUCUCGGAGAGGAAGGUGGAAUGCUUGGUGUAGAGGUGAAAUGCGUAGAUAUCAGUCGGAACACCGGUGGCGAAGGCGGCUUCUUGGGCCAUUUCUGACGCUGAGGCGCGAAAGCUAGGGGAGCGAACGGGAUUAGAUACCCCGGUAGUCCUAGCCGUAAACGAUGGAUACUAGGUGUUGGGGUAUCGACCCCCCCAGUGCCGCAGCUAACGCACUAAGUAUCCCGCCUGGGGAGUACGGCCGCAAGGUUGAAACUCAAAGGAAUUGACGGGGGCCCGCACAAGCGGUGGAGCAUGUUGUUUAAUACGUCACUAACCGUAGAACCUUACCAGGGCUGACAUCUCGGGACAUCCUAUGAAAGUAGGCUUUCCCCGCAAGGGGACCCGAAGACAGGUGUUGCAUGGCUGUCGUCAGCUCGUGUCGUGAGAUGUUGGGUUAAGUCCCGCAACGAGCGCAACCCUCACCCCAUGUUGCCAGCGGGUCAAGCCGGGCACUCUGGCGAAACCGCCUCGGAUAACGGGGAGGAAGGUGGGAUGACGUCAAGUCCUCAUGGCCUUUAUGUCCAGGGCUACACGCGUGCUACAAUGGUCGGUACAAACCGUCGCAAACCCGCGAGGGGGAGCUAAUCGGAAAAAGCCGGCCUCAGUUCGGAUUGGAGUCUGCAACUCGACUCCAUGAAGCUGGAAUCGCUAGUAAUCGCAGAUCAGAACGCUGCGGUGAAUACGUUCCCGGGCCUUGUACACACCGCCCGUCACAUCACGAAAGUGGACUGCACUAGAAGCCGGCGUGCCAACCGCAAGGGGGCAGCCGUCCAAGGUAUGGUUCAUGAUUGGGGUG